UGGGGAAUUUUGGACAAUGGGCGAAAGCCUGAUCCAGCAAUGCCGCGUGUGUGAAGAAGGCCUUCGGGUUGUAAAGCACUUUUGUCCGGAAAGAAAUCCUUGGCUCUAAUACAGUCGGGGGAUGACGGUACCGGAAGAAUAAGCACCGGCUAACUACGUGCCAGCAGCCGCGGUAAUACGUAGGGUGCAAGCGUUAAUCGGAAUUACUGGGCGUAAGCGUGCGCAGGCGGUUUGCUAAGACCGAUGUGAAAUCCCCGGGCUCAACCUGGGAACUGCAUUGGUGACUGGCAGGCUAGAGUAUGGCAGAGGGGGGUAGAAUUCCACGUGUAGCAGUGAAAUGCGUAGAGAUGUGGAGGAAUACCGAUGGCGAAGGCAGCCCCCUGGGCCAAUACUGACGCUCAUGCACGAAAGCGUGGGGAGCAAACAGGAUUAGAUACCCUGGUAGUCCACGCCCUAAACGAUGUCAACUAGUUGUUGGGGAUUCAUUUCCUUAGUAACGUAGCUAACGCGUGAAGUUGACCGCCUGGGGAGUACGGUCGCAAGAUUAAACUCAAUGAAUUGACGGGGUCAUAGCUG
rnacentral:rRNA from 1 species